AGGUACCUGUAACGCAUUGUAAUAUCGGGCCAAAGCAACGAAACUAGGUCAAUUGAAAAAGAAAACAAAAACAGAAAACCACAAAAACUGCAACAAAAUCCAUUUAUUGUAUCAGCAUCAGAUAGAAAAGCAAGCCCAAACUUCAAGCAUCUACCAAGUAUAGUGCACCUCCAGAACAACCAUUCACUUGGAGCAAAACCUGGUGCUCGUUCAAAGAGUUCACUUGGACAGACACGUUUGGGAAAUAUGUUUUAGUUCCGGGAAGACGCUGAUUAUCAGUGAAGAAGUUCUGGAGAGAGACUUCGACAAGAUUCGUGGAGAAAGGUUAAUCGGACGAAAAGCCGGGAGCAAGUUUGGUGAAGCUUUGAAAGAGAUUUGAUAAAUCUAGUGAAAUAUUCGUGAAUAUUUUGGCCAAACAAAUCACCACGAUAUAUAAUUGAAGUCCGGGAUUGCACAACCAACGCCCAUCCAUCCAUCCUUCUACUUGGUGUGGUAACAUGAAAAUUAAGCAGUAAGGUUAUUGAAUCUUUCUUUUCCUGUAAUAUUAACUCAUUUCGUAUAUAGUUUUAAAAGUUCCAUCGUUUUCAUAAA